rnacentral:rRNA from 1 species
AACGAACGCUGGCGGCAGGCCUCAAACAUGCAAGUCUAGGGGGUGUAGCAAUACAUCACCGGCGGACGGGUGCGUAACGCGUGGGAAUGUACCUAUUGGUUCGGAACAACACAGGGAAACUUGUGCUAAUACCGAAUGUGCCCGUAAGGGGAAAGAUUUAUCGCCAAUAGAUCAGCCCGCGUAGGAUUAGCUAGUUGGUGAGGUAAUGGCUCACCAAGGCUCCGAUCCUUAGCUGUUCUGAGAGGAAGAUCAGCCACACUGGGACUGAGACACGGCCCAGACUCCUACGGGAGGCAGCAGUUGGGAAUCUUGGACAAUGGGGGAAACCCUGAUCCAGCCAUGCCGCGUGAGUGAUGAAGGCCUUCGGGUUGUAAAACUCUUUCGACGGGGACGAUAAUGACGGUACCCGUAGAAGAAGCUCCGGCUAACUUCGUGCCAGCCGCCGCCGUAA